UACGUAGGGGGCAAGCGUUGUCCGGAAUCAUUGGGCGUAAAGAGCGCGUAGGCGGUCCGGUAAGUCCGCUGUGAAAGUCAAGGGCUCAACCCUUGAAUGCCGGUGGAUACUGUCGGGCUAGAGUCCGGAAGAGGCGAGUGGAAUUCCUGGUGUAGCGGUGAAAUGCGUAGAUAUCAAGAGGAACACCUGCGGCGAAGGCGGGUUGCUGGGCCGACACUGACGCUGAGGCGCGAAAGCCAGGGGAGCGAAUGGG
rnacentral:rRNA from 1 species